rnacentral:sRNA from 1 species
UUCUUUAUUCCAAAGACAGCAGGCGCAUUUGCUUAAUGGGUUUUGGCCCAGCCUGCCGAGGAUAGAGGCGAUACGCAUUGUUAUGAUGAUGUAUUUAUGCCCUUUCCGCGGUCAUGCGGGAAGGGCUUUUUCAUUUU